rnacentral:rRNA from 1 species
UACGGGAGGCAGCAGUGGGGAAUCUUCCGCAAUGGGCGAAAGCCUGACGGAGCAACGCCGCGUGAGCGAAGACGGCCUUCGGGUUGUAAAGCUCUGUUAUACGGGACGAACGGGAGAGUGGUUAAUACCCAUUUUCAGUGACGGUACCGUAAGAGAAAGCCACGGCUAACUACGUGCCAGCAGCCGCGGUAAUACGUAGGUGGCAAGCGUUGUCCGGAAUUAUUGGGCGUAAAGGGCGCGCAGGCGGU